UACGUAGGGGGCGAGCGUUGUCCGGAGUUACUGGGCGUAAAGCGCACGCAGGCGGUCUGUUAAGUUUGGAGUGACAGUUGGUGGCUCAACCACCAAAGUGCUUUGAAAACUGAUAGACUUGAGGGCUUCAGAGGGACACGGAAUUCCGGGUGUAGUGGUGAAAUGCGUAGAUAUCGGGAGGAACACCAGUGGCGAAGGCGACUACCUGGCCUGUUCUUGACGCUGAGGCGCGAAAGCUAGGGGAGCAAACGGG
rnacentral:rRNA from 1 species